AUGGCCGUGACUAUAGUUUAUAUGUAGCACCACCAUGGUUGGCACAGCUGUGGUCAUAAAAAGUGUCAUGGUUUGGCAAGUCAUAAAUGUGAUGUAGUUUAGCAAGCUGUAACAGUGCUAAAAUGAAUUGAAUUUAUCAUUGAAGAAUGGUAGUUGGAAAUUCAUAUUGCCCUCAGUAGAUAUAGGUCGAAACGAGAGGUCAUAAGUAUGUUUCAUAUUUGUUUGAUUUUCUCUAUUCUAUGCAUGAUUGAUAUGAAUGUUUUGAUGUUAAUGAU
rnacentral:lncRNA from 1 species